AUGGUUUUACAAUGAUGUUUAUUUUUUUUAUUUUUUUUUAUCUAUGAACAACUUUUCUACCAGCAAUUUUGUUUCGAUUUACAAUAAAAGUACUUUUUCUAAAAGAAAAUCUGACUGGGGAGGUACUUUAGGAAUGACAUUUUUUAAUUAUUCCAUGAGUUUUUUUAAUGAAUGAGAAAAAUCGGGAAAAUAGGUACAAUAUUGAACAAAUAUUGUUAAUGAAAUGUAAUUAUUUUACCAUAAUAUUACAUAUAUAUUGUUGACA